ACGCUCGACACCUACGGGGGCAGCAGUGAGGAAUAUUGGUCAAUGGGCGCUAGCCUGAACCAGCCAAGUAGCGUGAAGGAUGAAGGCUCUAUGGGUCGUAAACUUCUUUUAUAUAAGAAUAAAGUGCAGUAUGUAUACUGUUUUGUAUGUAUUAUAUGAAUAAGGAUCGGCUAACUCCGUGCAAGCAGCCGCGGUAAUCUGAGCGGGCUGGCAAGGC
rnacentral:rRNA from 1 species